GUGCCCACUUUGGCAGCACAUAUACUAAAAUUGGAACAAUAGAGAAGAUUAGCAUGCCCCUUGCGCAAAGAUGACAUGCAAAUUCGUGAAGCAUUUCAUAUUUUU